rnacentral:rRNA from 1 species
GACGAAGGUGGCAAGCGUUGUUCGGAUUUACUGGGCGUACAGGGAGCGUAGGCGGUUGGAUAAGCCCUCCGUGAAAUCUCCAGGCUUAACCUGGAAAGUGCAGAGGGGACUGUUCAGCUAGAGGAUGGGAGAGGAGCGCGGAAUUCCCGGUGUAGCGGUGAAAUGCGUAGAGAUCGGGAGGAAGGCCGGUGGCGAAGGCGGCGCUCUGGAACAUUUCUGACGCUGAGGCUCGAAAGCGUGGGGAGCAAACAGG